rnacentral:misc_RNA from 1 species
GUAGGUGAACCUGCGGAAGGAUCAUUAACACGUAUCCAAUGUUAAACCCCCGUGCAUUUUAACCUGCUCUCUUCGCCUUGACAAAGCAAUCUCUGGUAAAUCACGCGAACAGUUUGAUUCAGAGACUUGACGCGUGGAUGGAGCGGUAGAGCAAUUAGACUUGGUUUCCGCAAGGAUAACUGAUACUUACUCAGAUCGUUGACCCUCACGGUCAACGGACAGGUCUCUGGGCUUACGCCCCAUAUUAACC